rnacentral:tRNA from 1 species
GGCGAUGUAGCUCAGUUGGCUAGAGCAACCGGUUCAUACCCGGUAGGUCGUGAGUUCGAAUCUCUCCGUCGCUACCA